rnacentral:rRNA from 1 species
AGCAGUAGCCACGGUAAUACGUAGGGUGCGAGCGUUAAUCGGAAUUACUGGGCGUAAAGCGUGCGCAGGCGGUUAUGUAAGACAGGUGUGAAAUCCCCGGGCUUAACCUGGGAACUGCGCUUGUGACUGCACAGCUAGAGUAUGGCAGAGGGGGGUGGAAUUCCACGUGUAGCAGUGAAAUGCGUAGAGAUGUGGAGGAACACCGAUGGCGAAGGCAGCCCCUGGGCCAAUACUGACGCUCAUGCACGAAAGCGUGGGGAGCAAACAGGAUUAGAUACCCCGGUAGUCCCUGUCUCUUAUACA